rnacentral:lncRNA from 1 species
UAUUGGAAAAACAAACAAUAACAUUAUGAGAUCUCGGUUUUAAAAAAUAAUCAUAUUUAAUGAAAGAACAGGAUGGAAAAGAGGUUACAUUUACAAAGGAGAAUAGUUUAUAGGAUUCGUCUUUAUAAAAUUUUAUAUCGAAAAUAUUGGGAAAAGACUAGAAAUAAAGUAUAUACCAUUAUUUCGAAUAUGAAUAGCAUAAAUUAUGUAGAAAAAAAACCACCAAAAAUUGAAAAUAAAGUUGAUAACAUAGAAUGGCUGGAAGCGAUGGCAGUAGCUAUGAAAAUUGCUAGAGAAAAAGAACAACAGAAAUUAAGGAGAGACUUAAGCAAACUGGCAUUUCAAGCAACAAAAAGAUGACGAACUUAAUUAAUUUUUGUAUUUUUUAACUUAAUAAUAAAUAUUCU